rnacentral:rRNA from 1 species
UACGGGGGGGGCAAGCGUUGUUCGGAAUUACUGGGCGUAAAGGGCGCGUAGGCGGCUUUUCAAGUCGGGCGUGAAAUCUCCGGGCUUAACCCGGAAGGGUCGUUCGAUACUGUUGAGCUAGAGUGUGGAAGAGGCAACUAGAAUUCCGUGUGUAGCGGUGAAAUGCGCAGAUAUCAGGAGGAACACCAAUUGCGAAGGCGGCAUCCUGGGUCUGACCUGACGCUGAGACGCGACAGCAUGGGGAGCGAACGGG